UACGGAGGGUGCAAGCGUUAUCCGGAUUCACUGGGUUUAAAGGGUGCGUAGGCGGGCAGGUAAGUCAGUGGUGAAAUCUCCGAGCUUAACUCGGAACUGCCGUUGAUACUAUUUGUCUUGAAUAUUGUGGAGGUAAGCGGAAUAUGUCAUGUAGCGGUGAAAUGCUUAGAUAUGACAUAGAACACCAAUUGCGAAGGCAGCUUCUACACAACGAUUGACGCUGAGGCACGAAAGCGUGGGGAUCAAACAGG
rnacentral:rRNA from 1 species